CGGGAUUGGUUGCCGCCUUCACCGCCGUAGGAGGGCCGGGCGGAGACGCCUCACCCAGAGAAUUUUUCAGAAAGCUCAGAGCCAAAUUGAAUGUGAAUUGAAACCACUCUCCUGGUUUUCUGGGGUAAGUGUCUUCCAUUUCAGUUGGUUAUUAUUGUGAUGGUGUGGAUUGUGGAUCUGUAAAGGUGGCGAUGAGGAGGUAGGCUGCAUUGUUUGCUGAAGCAUGGGGCUUCAGGCACUGC
rnacentral:lncRNA from 1 species